rnacentral:rRNA from 1 species
UACGAAGGGAGCUAGCGUUGUUCGGAAUCACUGGGCGUAAAGCGCACGUAGGCGGAUGUGUCAGUCAGGGGUGAAAUCCCGGAGCUCAACUUCGGAACUGCCCUUGAUACAGCACGUCUUGAGUCCGGAAGAGGUGGGUGGAAUUCCUAGUGUAGAGGUGAAAUGCGCAGAUAUCAGGAAGAACACCAAUGGCGAAGGCAGCUCUCUGGGACGGUACUGACGCUGAGACGCGAAAGCGUGGGGAGCGAACAGG